AGCUGCUUCCAAGGGUUCUCCAUUUGUGCUUGCAUUAACCCUAACUGUGUCUCAGAAUUCUCUUUCCAGGUUUGCUACACUGGGGCAGGUUCAGUCACCAGCCACAUCACAAGAGAUAGCACACUGGAAAAAAGCCAGUUGUGUCAAAUGUAAUGGGGUGUGGUAUGGUCCUUAUACCGGGCCAGGUCAUAUGGGAAUGCCCUGCCUCCCUGGUUAUUUCCCCAUGUUUAAGUUGAUACAUGGGCAGAACUAUGUAUCAAAAGGGGGAAUGAUGAGCUAUAUGUCUAAAUAUUGAUUCACAAAGGGGUUUUCAAUUUUCUCCCAAAAAUUUUGUGAAAAAUGUCCCAUUUGCAUAAUACACAAUAAAGAGAAAAGUGAGAGUAUGCCUAUAGCUGCGCGCUCAACACCAGACAUGCCAUUUGAUCAUUUGCAGAUGGAUUUCACUGAGCUCUUGCCCGCUGAGGGAAAGAAGUAUUGCCUAGUGAUUACUGACAUGUUCUCUAAGCGGGUAGAGGCAUUUCCAACCUCCAAACAAGAUGCAGGUACAGUAGCAAAGGCCCUCCUGACUGAAAUUAUUUCAUGUUGGGGUUCCAAAGAAAAUCAGCAGUGAUAAUGGUACCUUGUUUGUUAAUCAGGCACUGAAACAAGCAAGUGAGGUGAUGGGUCAAAACCCAACACACCACAGUGUCCAUCACCCUGUGAGUGCUGGUGCAGUAGAGAGAGAAAAUAGCACAUUGAAGAACAAAUUGGCUAAAUGGUGCGAAGAUAUGGGCCUAAAUUGUGUAAAGGCCCUCCCUAUUGUGUUGUUCCAUAUGAGAAAGCAUGUAAGAGCAAAGAACAAUCUCAGCCCCUUUGAAAUUCUGUUUGGGAGGCCACCCAAUGCUGUCGUGGGCUCAGGGCCUAAACCACAAGCCCUCACUGUGUUGUGUGAAGAUGAAAUGUGUUAUUGUAUGGAUCUCUUCUCUGCUCGCUCUAUCACUCUCAGGCAGGUGAAGGACACACUUCCAGUCCCACUGUCCAGACCUCUACAUGAUUUGAAGCCUGGCAAUUGGAUUGUUGUCAAGGACCUGAGAAGGAAGAGCUGGAGAUGGCCACAGUGGUUGGGACUGUAUCAGGUGCUGCUGACGACGCAAACAGCUGUUAAGAUAGGGGAGAGAGCCAUAUGGAUACGCGCCCCACACUGUAAGCAUGCACCACUGUCUGGAGGAACAGAGGAGGAUGAAAAGGAACCAUCGAAGAUGAAGGAGAAAGAGAGCAGUGAGUAGGACCACUCAUUGUAAAGUUUUAUCCUGUGUUCUCAAGAUCAUCAGUGGCACGGGCGCCAGAAUGAUUUCCAUGGCACGCGCUGCACCACUCUGCAAAUGUAAUCUUGCGUGAAUACGACUGACUGGAAAGACGGAUCUCUAGAACACCUGUCUACGUGAUAACACUGAUGCUUAUAGUUUAUAGAUCUGCUCAAUCGUGUUUAUAUGAUUGUCUUCCGCGGGCCGGAUUAAAAACGCCAACGGGCCGGAUGUGGCCCGCGGGCCGUAGUUUGCCCACCUCUGUCUCAGAGGCUUGCAUAAGAUCCCAGCUAACAUAUGGAACAGCUGCUUCACUUCCAAAUGAACAAUAGCUUAAGAAGCUGGAGGCAUGUUGAAGUCAAUGUCUACGUAGUAUAGUAAAAGAUGGAUGGAAGUGAAGGCACAUUACAGGAAGUAACAAUGAAGAUGAAGAGACAGAUUAGGCUUUCAUUUACAUGAAUGAGCAGAUCAAGAACAUUCUCAAAACAACACCUCUACAUGAUGUUAUAGUCAAUACCUCAAGUACAUUGGCUACGUGUGUCAUGUAAAAAACACAGCACUGACUAAAAUAUUACUGUUUGCAAAACCGGAAAGAAAGUACUACCGUAACUCCUGGGUGAAGAUAUCCGAACUCCUUGGAGUUUCCAGUGAUCAGGCGAAAAGAAUGACCCAGUUAUGAAAUGGGUUCACCAACUUAAUAAGGAAACAUUUCAAGUUGCCUCUGUAAACUCAACGUCUGUUUUGUGGAGGAAUCUAUAGGUAGGUUUCUCAACUGUGAAUAAGUAUAAACUCUAGAUAAAAUGAGAAACUGUUUAUUCUUGCUUAUGCUUGUUGCUGGUUGAAACAAUAGUAUGACAGCCAUGUUUGAUUUGUAUAAUGUAAUCUGCAUAUUUUUCUAACUGUUAAUCUGCCAUUUGUGUAGAGAUGUCUGUCUCGCAAAAACAGCAGUAUAAUCAUUUCAAUUUCCCUGUUAAUGAAGUGCCUGUUUGAAAGCCUGUAUAGGAGAGUCAGGGACAGAGAAAAAUGUAUUAGGAAAAGACUUCUACUUUAUUAUAAUUAUCAAAGAAUUGAUAAAAGGGGAAAUGUGUAGAGGAAAUUUGCAAAGUAGUGAUUUUUAGAGAAGUAAGCUUUAGAAAAACACUGUCUAAAGGCAAGGAAUGUUGUUACAAGUAUGUGUGCGUAGAGAGAGAGUUGUUGUUGUUGUUGUUGUUAUUAUUAUUAAUGGCACACACUCAGAGAAGCAACUCCAAGACAACCGCAGCGCCAAAAUGCUCUGACCACUAUCCUUGAAGGGGAAAAAGGAAAACGCCUGGCAUGGCAAAGCUGUAUUAAAGUGUGUCCGUGGAAACAGGAAGUGCUUCUUCUCUGGGUGAAAUGUGCUGGUAUUCACUGUUUGGAAGCCUGCUUUUGCGAAAGUACAAUAAAGUCAGAGUUCUGUCUGCUUUCUUCUAA